rnacentral:rRNA from 1 species
CAACCUGCCGAUAACUCCGGGAUAGCCUUUCGAAAGAAAGAUUAAUACCGGAUGGCAUACGAAUAUCGCAUGAUAUUUUUAUUAAAGAAUUUCGGUUAUCGAUGGGGAUGCGUUCCAUUAGUUUGUUGGCGGGGUAACGGCCCACCAAGACUACGAUGGAUAGGGGUUCUGAGAGGAAGGUCCCCCACAUUGGUACUGAGACACGGUCCAAACUCCUACGGGAGGCAGCAGUGAGGAAUAUUGGUCAAUGGGCGAGAGCCUGAACCAGCCAAGUAGCGUGAAGGAUGAAGGCUCUAUGGGUCGUAAACUUCUUUUAUAUGGGAAUAAAGUUUUCCACGUGUGGAAUUUUGUAUGUACCAUAUGAAUAAGGAUCGGCUAACUCCGUGCCAGCAGCCGCGGUAAUACGGAGGAUCCGAGCGUUAUCCGGAUUUAUUGGGUUUAAAGGGAGCGUAGGUGGAUUGUUAAGUCAGUUGCGAAAGUUUGCGGCUCAACCGUAAAAUUGCAGUUGAAACUGGCAGUCUUGAGUACAGUAGAGGUGGGCGGAAUUCGUGGUGUAGCGGUGAAAUGCUUAGAUAUCACGAAGAACUCCGAUUG